rnacentral:rRNA from 1 species
UCUAUGUGAAUUAAAUACUUAGUCUGGCCUGCCCACUGAAAGAGUUUUAAAGGGCUGCGGUAAUUUGACCGUGCAAAGGUAGCAUAAUCAUUAGUCUUUUAAUUGAAGGCUUGAAUGAAAGGUUUGACGGAGGAGAAGCUGUCUCGUUUAUUGAAAUUGAAUUUAACUUUUGUGUGAAAAGGCAUUAAUGGUUUAGAGGGACGAUAAGACCCUAUAAAACUUUACAUGUUGAUAUUGUUUAAUAAAAUAGUUUAAUUAAUUGUUAAAUGGUAAGUUGUGUUUUGCUGGGGCGGCAGGAAUAUAAUUCUAACUGUUUUAAGUAUAAAAUAUUUAUUAAUAGAGAGUGGUCCUUUAUUUAAGAGGUAAGAGUAAGUUACUUUAGGGAUAACAGCAUAAUUUUUUUUGAGAGUUCUUAUCGAAGAUAAUAGUUGUGACCUCGAUGUUGAAUUAAAUUUUCCUUUAGGUGCAGGAGCUUAAUAAGGGAGAGGCCUGUUCGGCCUAUAAAUAUUUACGUGAUCUGAGUUUCA